AAUUACAUAAAUUGCAAUUUGUUCCUAAUUUAUUGGAUGACCUGACCUAUAAGAAAAAUGUCUUGCGACCAGACAGAAACAAAUCAACUCAUUUGUUAAAGGCAAAAAUUAAUGAUUCACGUGAGUGAUUCUCGAGAUUUCAAUCGCUGAUAAAUGAAAGCUUUAGCAUUUCGGAGUGAAAAACUCUAAUGUGAUUUGUCGAAAUAUCUAAUUGCUACACUGUGUAGGUGGAGCAUUAGCAUGAUAAUGACUUGAUAACCACGUUAGGUUCGUGUACAGAGACAUUAUUUAUUCAUUUAUAAUUCAGUAGGUGAUGCUACUGACAUUAUAUUCCAAUAAUAAUAAAUAUCACAGAUAGGAAAGUGGUGUGCACACAAUGUCGCUUGCACCAUUUAAAAGCAUAUAUGACGUCCUCAACGUGACUUACUUUUUCACAAAAAUUACAGCAAUGGCCCCUUUUACUCGAACCAAACUGAAAACUGGCAAAUACCAUUACGUCGAAGCGCCCAAAAGCAAAUAUUUAAUCGCCUUGGGCGUAAUUUCAAUCAAUGUUACAAGCAUGGUUCUCUUUUCUUACAAUGUAAUGACCACAUCAGACACCGGACCAAUUGGAACAAUCCUGGUAGUAAUUACAGGAGCCAAUUUAAGUGCAGGAAAUGCCGUCACAAUUCUACACAUCGCUGCAAAAAGCUCGCACAUUUUUCAAAUAUUUGCGCUGAUCGCUACCAUUGACAAAAAAAUGAGAACAAUGAGAAUACGCUCAAGUUUCAGACAACUGUAUUACUUUCAAUUAUCCAUGACUUCGUUGUUUGUGACCACGUGGGUGUCGAAUUUGAUUUAUUCCCUUUUUUUCGCGAAACGAUCGCUCCUACACCUGAUAAUUGAAAUUGGAGCUUUCGGGAUAAAUUUGCAAAAUUUGUGCAUUGGUAUUAUGUAUUUCUGUUACUUUAGUUGGGCGCUUGCGGCAAGACUGAAGUUUCUGCGAUUGCAUCUCAGGAAAGCUAGAAAUCGAUCGUUUGACACGAAACAAUUUUUGGUUGAUGUGUCUGAUAUUUUUUUGAAAAUUCAGAAAGCGAGUAAUUUGAAUGCUGAAACGUUCCUAAUCAGUGCACCGAUUAUGUACGCCGCUUCGAAUUUUUUUCUCCUUGUGGGCAUUCUCAAAUUUAAGGUCCUUCAGACGGACGAUAGCAAGAUCUAUGCCCUUAUCCUAGGGGUAUUUUAUGCUUCGCUUAUUUUCGGAACCGUGGUCAUAAUCGAAAUUGUGAAGCACAUGGUAGUCGAAUUUCUUUAUUUGUCUUUUUGUUAUUAAACUUGUUACAGUAUAAAUCAACUUCACACAAAGUCAAUGAAUUUGUUAUGUCCAACUUUGAUUUGGUUGAGCUUUCUGAACUGAGGGACACAUUCCUGUUGCAAGUGUUACACACAGAACUCAGAUUUCGUCCACUGGGAUUAUUUGAUCUUACAUUUCAAAAAUUACUCGAAGGUUAUGGCCAUUUCACCAACACGGUAAUGCUCAUAAAUCACUUUAGGGAUGGAUGAAUUUUUUAAAUGUCAAACCGUGUAAAAAUUUUGAAUAAAAAUCCAAUUGAAUAAUAAUAAAGCACGUCUAGCAUUUGUGGGUGGACAAUCCCAUUAGCUCUCACCUUCCACAGUUACACGAACUAAACAUC